CGAGAAUUCGUUGGUGAGGGAAGGUGUACAUAUCAUACGCUCCGGUAUUGUGAAGGUUCAGUGAUGGUGUAGUCUGUGGUCUUGUUGUGUGAUGUAACUUAAGCAGAAUGGGUCUGAUGCCACUUGAAUUUAAGGACUGUCUUACUGACAGUCCUUACUUUCGCGAGAAACUACAUACCCAUGAGAAGGAGCUGGACCAAACCAACGCUUCCAUCAAGGCACUUAUCAAGGAAGUGAAGGAUUUGAUUCAGGCCGCACGAAGUCUCCGUUAGUAUAGGACUGACAGGUGGCGCCGGACGAAGCAAAUACAGCAUCAGAUGAUUCGGUAUAAUCAUGAUCUUAAAGUGUCACGCUCGUCUGUGCCUCUGUCAUGAAGUGGCAUGAUUUGUCCAGGUGACGCAGCGAGGCAUCUGGUGUGCCUCAAGUCAUGCUGGAAU